rnacentral:rRNA from 1 species
CCUACGGGGGGCAGCAGUGGGGAAUAUUGGACAAUGGGCGCAAGCCUGAUCCAGCCAUGCCGCGUGAGUGAUGAAGGCCUUAGGGUUGUAAAGCUCUUUCAGUAGGGAAGAUAAUGACGGUACCUACAGAAGAAGCCCCGGCUAACUUCGUGCCAGCAGCCGCGGUAAUACGAAGGGGGCUAGCGUUGUUCGGAUUUACUGGGCGUAAAGCGCACGUAGGCGGAUUGUUAAGUCAGAGGUGAAAUCCCGGAGCUCAACUCCGGAACUGCCUUUGAUACUGGCAAUCUAGAGUCCGGAAGAGGUGAGUGGAACUCCUAGUGUAGAGGUGGAAUUCGUAGAUAUUAGGAAGAACACCAGUGGCGAAGGCGGCUCACUGGUCCGGUACUGACGCUGAGGUGCGAAAGCGUGGGGAGCAAACAGGAUUAGAUACCCCAGUAGU